GACGUAGGGGGCCAGCGUUGUUCGGAAUUACUGGGCGUAAAGGGUUCGUAGGCGGUGUGGCAAGUCGGGAGUGAAAUCUCUGGGCUCAACUCAGAGACUGCUUCCGAAACUGCUGUGCUGGAGUGUGGGAGAGGCGCGUGGAAUUGCAGGUGUAGCGGUGAAAUGCGUAGAUAUCUGCAGGAACACCCGUGGCGAAAGCGGCGCGCUGGACCGCUACUGACGCUGAGGAACGAAAGCGUGGGGAGCAAACAGG
rnacentral:rRNA from 1 species